AACGAACGCUGGCGGCAUGCCUAACACAUGCAAGUCGAACGAAGAUUUAUCUUAGUGGCGAACGGGUGAGUAACGCGUGGGAAUCUGCCUUUCAGUGGGGGAUAACUCAGAGAAAUUUGAGCUAAUACCGCAUACGACCUUCGGGUGAAAGAUUUAUUGCUGAAAGAUGGGCCCGCGUUAGAUUAGGUAGUUGGUAGGGUAAAGGCCUACCAAGCCUACGAUCUAUAGCUGGUUUGAGAGGAUGAUCAGCCACACUGGGACUGAGACACGGCCCAGACUCCUACGGGAGGCAGCAGUGGGGAAUAUUGGACAAUGGGGGAAACCCUGAUCCAGCAAUGCCGCGUGAGUGAAGAAGGCCUUCGGGUUGUAAAACUCUUUCAAUGGGGAGGAUGAUGACGUUACCAUAGAAG
rnacentral:rRNA from 1 species